rnacentral:rRNA from 1 species
UAGGUCGGAUUAGCUAGUUGGUGGGGUAAAGGCCUACCAAGGCGACGAUCCGUAACUGGUCUGAGAGGAUGAUCAGUCACACUGGAACUGAGACACGGUCCAGACUCCUACGGGAGGCAGCAGUGGGGAAUAUUGGACAAUGGGCGAAAGCCUGAUCCAGCCAUGCCGCGUGUGUGAAGAAGGUCUUCGGAUUGUAAAGCACUUUAAGUUGGGAGGAAGGGCAGUAAGUUAAUACCUUGCUGUUUUGACGUUACCAACAGAAUAAGCACCGGCUAACUUCGUGCCAGCAGCCGCGGUAAUACGAAGGGUGCAAGCGUUAAUCGGAAUUACUGGGCGUAAAGCGCGCGUAGGUGGUUCAGCAAGUUGGAUGUGAAAUCCCCGGGCUCAACCUGGGAACUGCAUCCAAAACUACUGAGCUAGAGUACGGUAGAGGGUGGUGGAAUUUCCUGUGUAGCGGUGAAAUGCGUAGAUAUAGGAAGGAACACCAGUGGCGAAGGCGACCACC